rnacentral:rRNA from 1 species
UACGUAGGGGGCAAGCGUUGUCCGGAUUUAUUGGGCGUAAAGAGCGUGUAGGCGGCCAUACAGGUCAGCUGUGAAAACUCGAGGCUCAACCUCGAGACGUCGGUUGAAACCGUAUGGCUAGAGUCCGGAAGAGGAGAGUGGAAUUCCCGGUGUAGCGGUGAAAUGCGCAGAUAUCGGGAAGAACACCCGUGGCGAAGGCGGCUCUCUGGGACGGUACUGACGCCGAGACGCGAAAGCGUGGGGAGCGAACAGG